AGUGAAGUAGGAGGGGCAACGAGAGCAGGGGUCACGGAAGAUAAAAAAUGUACUGUGUAAUCCAGGAAGUGGGUCGCUGAAAUUGAGAUGGCCACAGAAAAGGGACCAUCAGAUGUGCGAUCAUGCAGUCAACUGUGCAGGCUUGCAGGAUUGGAGCCCUCGGAUACAGGAGCUGCACUGUGGCCAAACAUCCCUGUUUCUUCAGGUUUGGGAACAAAUCGAGACUGUUUUCUUCCCGAGAAGCAAACACUUCAGAUAACUAGCGGCAGUUCUUAGAAAGAAUGUGAACGGAUCUCCCCACCUCCGAAGCUGUCUGGAAACCUGGAAAGUCUAUUCAUGAGGAAAGAGGUUUGCUUAAAUACUUUCUUCAGUGGCCUGUAUGGUCGAGUCUGAGAGUUUUGCGCUCAGUGAAUGAUACCUUAAGUUUAUAAGCCAGCCUGGCCUUCCACAUGCUGAGAUCUUCGGCAUGGACCUCCGCAGCAGGCUGAUGCUGGAAUGUUAAUGAGGACAUGACAAGCAAAAUUCCUGUCUCCCUUCCCCAUAUAUGGCAACCCCAGGGCCUAACUGGAGAACACUCCUAUCCACUUUGACGCAUGGGCAAUAUAGGAAACCUAUCAAAAAUAGUAUGUCCUGGGAAAGAUGGAUGGGCUAAGAUCCUGGAAGUGACGGUCUCUUGCAGGAAUUUCAAGCUAAUUGGAACUAUUUAAACUAGAAAGGCAGAUAUGUCUUCAGGUAUUCAUGGUCAAUAGCCACAUGCUGAGUGUUUUGCAGGGUCUCUUUAUUGGAAGACACAAGUGGAAAUAUGGAAGAAUUUGGAUUCCCUAGGAUCCAAAAACAAGCUUGCAAGAGGGUUGGAUUUAAGUCCUGGCACCUCCCUAUUCAGCCUAUGGGGG
rnacentral:lncRNA from 1 species